UACGUAGGGGGCAAGCGUUGUCCGGAAUUAUUGGGCGUAAAGCGCGCGCAGGUGGUGAAUUAAGUUGUGGGUAAAAGGCAAUGGCUCAACCAUUGUAAGCCUGCAAAACUGGUUCACUUGAGUGCAGGAGAGGUGAGUGGAAUUCCCGGUGUAGCGGUGGAAUGCGUAGAGAAUCGGGAGGAACACCAGUGGCGAAGGCGACUCUCUGGCCUGUAACUGACACUGAGGCGCGAAAGCGUGGGGAGCAAACAGG
rnacentral:rRNA from 1 species